rnacentral:rRNA from 1 species
AUAAUGGGUCAGCGACUUAUAUUCUGUAGCAAGGUUAACCGAAUAGGGGAGCCGAAGGGAAACCGAGUCUUAACUGGGCGUUAAGUUGCAGGGUAUAGACCCGAAACCCGGUGAUCUAGCCAUGGGCAGGUUGAAGGUUGGGUAACACUAACUGGAGGACCGAACCGACUAAUGUUGAAAAAUUAGCGGAUGACUUGUGGCUGGGGGUGAAAGGCCAAUCAAACCGGGAGAUAGCUGGUUCUCCCCGAAAGCUAUUUAGGUAGCGCCUCGUGAAUUCAUCUCCGGGGGUAGAGCACUGUUUCGGCAAGGGGGUCAUCCCGACUUACCAACCCGAUGCAAACUGCGAAUACCGGAGAAUGUUAUCACGGGAGACACACGGCGGGUGCUAACGUCCGUCGUGAAGAGGGAAACAACCCAGACCGCCAGCUAAGGUCCCAAAGUCAUGGUUAAGUGGGAAACGAUGUGGGAAGGCCCAGACAGCCAGGAUGUUGGCUUAGAAGCAGCCAUCAUUUAAAGAAAGCGUAAUAGCUCACUGGUCGAGUCGGCCUGCGCGGAAGAUGUAACGGGGCUAAACCAUGCACCGAAGCUGCGGCAGCGACGCUGAUGCGUUGUUGGGUAGGGGAGCGUUCUGUAAGCCUGUGAAGGUGUGCUGUGAGGCAUGCUGGAGGUAUCAGAAGUGCGAAUGCUGACAUAAGUAACGAUAAAGCGGGUGAAAAGCCCGCUCGCCGGAAGACCAAGGGUUCCUGUCCAACGUUAAUCGGGGCAGGGUGAGUCGACCCCUAAGGCGAGGCCGAAAGGCGUAGUCGAUGGGAAACAGGUUAAUAUUCCUGUACUUGGUGUUACUGCGAAGGGGGGACGGAGAAGGCUAUGUUGGCCGGGCGACGGUUGUCCCGGUUUAAGCGUGUAGGCUGGUUUUCCAGGCAAAUCCGGAAAAUCAAGGCUGAGGCGUGAUGACGAGGCACUACGGUGCUGAAGCAACAAAUGCCCUGCUUCCAGGAAAAGCCUCUAAGCAUCAGGUAACAUCAAAUCGUACCCCAAACCGACACAGGUGGUCAGGUAGAGAAUACCAAGGCGCUUGAGAGAACUCGGGUGAAGGAACUAGGCAAAAUGGUGCCGUAACUUCGGGAGAAGGCACGCUGAUAUGUAGGUGAAGUCCCUCGCGGAUGGAGCUGAAAUCAGUCGAAGAUACCAGCUGGCUGCAACUGUUUAUUAAAAACACAGCACUGUGCAAACACGAAAGUGGACGUAUACGGUGUGACGCCUGCCCGGUGCCGGAAGGUUAAUUGAUGGGGUCAGCGCAAGCGAAGCUCUUGAUCGAAGCCCCGGUAAACGGCGGCCGUAACUAUAACGGUCCUAAGGUAGCGAAAUUCCUUGUCGGGUAAGUUCCGACCUGCACGAAUGGCGUAAUGAUGGCCAGGCUGUCUCCACCCGAGACUCAGUGAAAUUGAACUCGCUGUGAAGAUGCAGUGUACCCGCGGCAAGACGGAAAGACCCCGUGAACCUUUACUAUAGCUUGACACUGAACAUUGAGCCUUGAUGUGUAGGAUAGGUGGGAGGCUUUGAAGUGUGGACGCCAGUCUGCAUGGAGCCGGCCUUGAAAUACCACCCUUUAAUGUUUGAUGUUCUAACGUUGACCCGUGAUCCGGGUUGCGGACAGUGUCUGGUGGGUAGUUUGACUGGGGCGGUCUCCUCCUAAAGAGUAACGGAGGAGCACGAAGGUUGGCUAAUCCUGGUCGGACAUCAGGAGGUUAGUGCAAUGGCAUAAGCCAGCUUGACUGCGAGCGUGACGGCGCGAGCAGGUGCGAAAGCAGGUCAUAGUGAUCCGGUGGUUCUGAAUGGAAGGGCCAUCGCUCAAC